UAUUAUCACUCAACAACCUCC
rnacentral:siRNA from 1 species